rnacentral:rRNA from 1 species
UUAAAAAGCUCGUAGUUGGAUUUCUGUGGGGACGGAGCGGCCGGCCGCUACUAGCGGUUCGAGCUAGCGCUUUCCCUACAUCCUGCCGCGAAACCGUGCUACCAUUAGUUUGGUGGCGCCGGGGAUCGGCUCCGUUUACUUUGAGAAAAAUAGAGUGUUCAAAGCAGGCCACACGCCUUGAAUAAGUUAGCAUGGAAUAAUAACUAAGGACUUCGGUUCUAUUUUGUUGGUGUUCGGGACUGAAGUAAUGAUUGAU